rfam:Schistosoma mansoni, Puerto Rico, WGS project CABG01000000 data, contig: 0225
GCACUAAUGAUGAGUCCCGUAAUAGGACGAAACGGCCGUCCGGUGC